CUUGCCCCUGGAUCAACCUCUGGGUUUGGCAGUCCUGAGUAUGGGCUUGCAGCCCUCUUUGUUCAGAUUUAACUGCUGCUCUGAAGGUAUUUUGUUUAUAGGCUACUUCAUCCUUAGUUUCUUUAUGAAAUGAAAGUCAUCAGCAUAAAGAGUAGAUCUGUCUCACAAAGUACCUGGAUAUUGUACCCUGUUUUUCCAGGCAGGCUGUUCUGUAAUGGCCUGAGCCAUUUGCAAGGCUGGAAAUGAUGAAAUGCAGUGCCUUGUUGUGCACUCAGGGAAGCAGUGCAUUUUUUUUUUAAUCCUAAAAGGAUGCUCAAGAUGUGCUGUGGUGAGGAUGAGGCAUGUGGAGAUCAAGAGUAUAGACAGCAGCUGUAGAACUGAAGAUUUCCUGCCACUGGUUGGAAAAAUAGAGACAAGUUACUCAAGGAGAUGGACAAGGUCUUGCUUAAAUUCCAAGAGAAAAUUGGCUUUUCUGUCUGCUCUUUGCCUGCCUAUCAUCAGUCUUGAAGGAUUCAAACCCUCAGUGAACAGAAACAGCUUUGCUACAGGGAACUUAAAAAAAAUAAACCCUGAAAGAGCAAGAAAUUGCUGUGACACUUGUGAGUAACUGAGGUUCUUCCUCCUUCAGAAAAAAACCCAAAAAGCAGCUUUUGGGUUCUUGUUCCAAAUAGCAAAUGCUGAAUGACCUAAGAAAAUCUGAAUGGGUGUCUAAGGUUUGUUAUUAGUUUUAGUUUCUCCAGUUCUAAAAGUAAGCGUUUAAUAUAUACUGAAUUAUUUAGAAAACUAAUUAAUGUUUCUGUUUUUCUACAAUUUAUUGAAAACCUGUUGUCACUGACAGUUCACAUUUCGUACAGUUAGAGGGCCAUUAUUUUAAUGUUAUGCUGAAUGUGGGAAGCACCUUUAACAUUUAACAACAUGUCAGGCUUUCGGGAUGCCAAAAUAUUUUGUAAUACUUUAAGUAUCUGUCUCUUUGCAGUGCCAUCAAUACUGGUUAUUUAGAUUCCUCCUUUUUAUGCAAGAAUGGAAAAUGUUGAUUUAGUUUAGUUUUUAAAUAUGCUUACGGAACUCUUUGGGUUUAUGAGCACUGAAAACCCCAUAAAAUAUUUGGGGUUUUUUAUGUGACAUUAAUAAACAGGCAGAGGGGGAAAGUCA
rnacentral:lncRNA from 1 species